CAUGGUUUGUGACAGCGGAAGUCUGAGUUUUGCUUUGUCCAUGCGUGGCCUCCUUCCCCGUGUCUCUGUGUGUUCUCAUUCUUAGACAUGGAAACAGGAGGGAGAACAUCAUGUGAAGAUAAGACAGCAACUGAAGAUAGCUGCAAGCCAGAGAAUGCCCAAGAUUGCCAAUGAACCACCAAAAGACCAGGAAGAAACCAGGAAGGAUUCUCCCCUGCAAUUUUCCAAGGAACAUGGCCCUGCCUACACUUGGAUUUUGGAUUUCCAGCCUCUAAAACUGACACUGUGUGUAGCUGCUCUGAUGUGUGAUUUGCCCAUGCAAAAAGAAAAACCACUGCUGCAGAAAAAUGUAGGCCAUGUCUGUUCUUACCUUUGGGGAAAAAUAUUGUUACAUAACUGAUCCCAAACUUUGAAAAACUUUUCUAUGUUAAGACAUUUUUCCUCCAUGUUAUUGUAACUGAAGUUGGUAUAAGACUUCUAGAGUCUUAUUAAUUAAUUAAUUAAAUUAAUAUUCAUUGAAAAUCUAA